rnacentral:rRNA from 1 species
AACCAGCACCUCAAGUGGUCAGGAGGAUUAUUGGGCCUAAAGCAUCCGUAGCCGGCUCUGUAAGUUUUCGGUUAAAUCCAUGUGCUCAACGCAUGGGCUGCCGAAAAUACUGCAUAGCUAGGGAGUGGGAGAGGUAGACGGUACUCGGUAGGAAGGGGUAAAAUCCUUUGAUCUAUUGAUGACCACCUGUGGCGAAGGCGGUCUACCAGAACACGUUCGACGGUGAGGGAUGAAAGCUGGGGGAGCAAACCGG